UGCGCAGGUGGGCUUGUAAGUCAGUGGUGAAAUACUGCCGCUUAACGGUAGAACUGCCAUUGAUACUGCAAGUCUUGAAUAUGGUUGAGGUAGGCGGAAUGUGUUGUGUAGCGGUGAAAUGCAUAGAUAUGACACAGAACGCCGAUUGCGAAGGCAGCUUACUAAGCCAUUAUUGACGCUGAGGCACGAAAGCGUGGGGAGCGAACAGGAUUAGAUACCCUGGUAGUC
rnacentral:rRNA from 1 species